ensembl:lncRNA
GCUUGAUAUAUGUUUUAUUAUUAUUUUUACAAAAAAAUAAGUUUUAAUGAGCGUCAACUACUUAAUAGUAUUCUGGUACAACUCUGCCAAACAACAACUCAGCACAUUAACACAUUCGUUUUCAAAGAUUUUCUCUAUGCUACUUCUCUGCUAUGUUCACAGAUACAAUUCUACACACAAGCAUGCUUUCUCUCUAUCGAUCUUUCUCUCUCUAUUUUUCCUAACUCAACCAUAUACUUGUCUGUGGCACCAAAAAGGGGCACCAACAGGUAUGGUCUGGUCGGUUUCUAAUCACCGAAACAUAAUUAUUAUGUAGGCCUAUCUAUUUUCAGUCCUAGUGAAAGUGUACACAAAACGGACACAAAAUGUUCUGCCAGAAUAUAAUUGCCAGAGACUAUUAGGCCUAGGCCUACCACAAUUAGGUCCAACCGCAUUAUGUUCUCUUCUUUUUUGUUACGGUUAGACUGUUCUUUCUCUGUCUUUCCUCUGUAUUGAAAAGUACCUUGAGCUACAUUCUUAUGUUUGAAAUUUGCUACAUAAAUAAAGCGGACAGUUUAAAUAUAUAGUUUCUGGAAGUUUCGGUUGCGAACAGUAUAGGAGGCAGUACAGGGACAUUGUUGUAUGGACUUGAGGAGCCCCAAACAACACGAUUAUUUAAAGACUGAACUUGAGAAGGGGCUUAAAAAGAAUCAACAUUUUCAAUUUCCUGGUAGUGGUGUGACUGAUCUGCAGCGAGAGACAUAGUAAACGAUUCCACGACAUCCUCGUUCUAGUGCAGGGUUUCUCAAACCAUGGGGCAGGCCCCUGGUGCACUGGCUUCUGAGCCAGGCCCCAAAAUAAAGUCAUAUUAUUGACUGUUUAAACCUGCGCCUCAAAUUUCAGAUUACUCUGAAAACGGAAUGGAAACGCACACCUACUUAUUUAGGUCAAUGUUAAUUUUGGUAUCCUACUUAAAGCCCUGUAAGUAUUAGCUAACUAUUUAUUUGUAAAGUACAGCAGGGGGGAAAUUACAUGGUAAUACUUUACAAUAAGGGUAUAUUAAUUAAGCUUUAAUUGACAAUAGUUAAUUCAGUAAUAAGCAGGCACGGCGCCAGGAUUCCAGUUAUGGUUUGGGUUACCCUCCUAUUCUGUGUUUUAAUGCGGUUGAUACUGGGAAAAGAUGUGUUCAACUGUACAGGAUGUCAUUGGCAGUGUUAUCAGAGCAUGUCUGGAACUGUCUGCUGAACUUUUGCAGAAACAUCAACAAAGACAAAAACAGUAUUUUUUUCAAUUAAAAAAUGAAUAUUUAGGCUAUUUAAUCACAAAUUAUGAGAUUGUUUGCCGAUUUUUAAUAAUUCUUGCCAAAACUUUAAAUAUAUUAAACUUUUUUUUUUUGAAGAACAAAACUUUUGGGUGGGCCUGUUGAACAGUGGGUGGUCCUAGGUCCACCCAUAACGCCGUAACUGUUGUUUAUUCCAUACUUAUUAUCUGUAUGGAAUAGUUCACACUGUUAACUGGUCAUCAUAGCGAAUUAUAAAACGGACAGUUCCGGUACCUUAUAUCAAUUGAGGAACUACAUAACUUGGCGGAAGAAGAAGUUUUCAAUAAAUUAUAACAUUUUAUAUUGCUCUGUGACUAUUUUGUGAAAUCGAACUAGGUAGAAUAAAGGUACCGUUUUAGUAACCGUCUUUUAAAAGAAGUGAAUUGAAAAUAUUGAAUUGUAAUAAGGGUUAGUAAUGGGCUACCCUCUAGCCCCCUCCUUCCAGCUUGGACUGAUCUGCCAGAUCGCCCUUCUGCCAGAUGGUCACCAGGAAAGGGAAGCACUUCAACAUCCCCUCCUGGAGAGGGGUUUCCGGGGGAACACCUGGACACAGAAAUCCGACCCCACUCCCUGGGACUCCCUGGGCGUGGAUUGGUAGACCGACGUGACGUCAUAGCGGAGGCCGCAGUCGUCGGGGAGCAUGGUCGGACCUUGGUGUGCGUUCAGUGUCCCCUCGACAGACCCGAUCCCAUUCACCGUCAGGUCCACGUGCGUGACCACAUAUUGAUCCACGGGCAUGAGCACAAACGCUUGCUGCAGGUGCUCCCCCGCCGUGCACUUUAAAUCCAGCGGCCAGCAGUAAUCCGUGUGGUCUUCAGAGGGGAAACUGGUGUUAGAAUUUGCACACAUUUUUGCCCUCGUGCAAAAUACGUUUGAUUAAAUGCAUGCAAUAUAUUAUUUUAUUUGAUUAAAUCCAUCACUGAUGGAGGGAAACUACACUAAUAUCUCAUCAAGGCCCUAUCUGAUCUUCUUUAGCCC